GACGAACGCUGGCGGCGUGCCUAAUACAUGCAAGUUGAGCGCUGAAGGUUGGUACUUGUACCAACUGGAUGAGCAGCGAACGGGUGAGUAACGCGUGGGGAAUCUGCCUUUUUGCGGGGGACAACAUUUGGAAACGAAUGCUAAUACCGCAUAAAAACUUUAAACACAAGUUUUAAGUUUGAAAGAUGCAAUUGCCUCACUCAAAGAUGAUCCCGCGUUGUAUUAGCUAGUUGGUGAGGUAAAGGCUCACCAAGGCGAUGAUACAUAGCCGACCUGAGAGGGUGAUCGGCCACAUUGGGACUGAGACACGGCCCAAACUCCUACGGGAGGCAGCAGUAGGGAAUCUUCGGAAAUGGACGAAAGUCUGACCGAGCGACGCCGCGUGAGUGAAGAAGGGUUUCGGAUCGUAAAACUCUGUUGGUAGAGAAGAACGUUGGUGAGAGUGGAAAGCUCAUCAAGUGACGGUAACUACCCAGAAAGGGACGGCUAACUACGUG
rnacentral:rRNA from 1 species